rnacentral:rRNA from 1 species
CAGCCGCCGCGGUAAAACGGAGGAUCCAAGCGUUAUCCGGAAUCAUUGGGUUUAAAGGGUCCGUAGGCGGUCUUGUAAGUCAGUGGUGAAAGCCCAUCGCUCAACGGUGGAACGGCCAUUGAUACUGCAGGACUUGAAUUAUUGGGAAGUAACUAGAAUAUGUAGUGUAGCGGUGAAAUGCUUAGAGAUUACAUGGAAUACCAAUUGCGAAGGCAGGUUACUACCAAUUGAUUGACGCUGAUGGACGAAAGCGUGGGUAGCGAACAGGAUUAGAUACCCCUGUAGUCCCUGUCUCUUAUAC